rnacentral:ribozyme from 1 species
AUAAUGUAUCAGACUAGCAAUGCUGGAAAAGAAUUGGUGCUCCCUUUUGGUACCCAGCGUCCGGAAUCAAAAAACCCUUGUGGGCCC